rnacentral:rRNA from 1 species
GACGAACGCUGGCGGCGUGCCUAAUACAUGCAAGUCGAACGCAGUGGGGACGGGUGAGUAACACGUGGGUAACCUCCCAUCAGAGGGGAUAACACUUGGAAACAGGUGCUAAACCGAUAUUGAUGUAUGGACCCGCGGUGCAUUAGCUAGUUGGUGAGGUAACGGCUCACCAAGGCCACGAUGCAUAGCGGACCUGGGAGGAUGAUCGGCCAGACUGGGACGGAGACACGGCCCAGACUCUUACGGGAGGCAGCAGUGGGGAAUCUGCGGCAAUGGACGAAAGUCUGACAGAUCAACGCCGCGUGAGUGAAGAAGGUUUUCGGUUCGUAAGACUCUGUUGUUAGAGAGGCGGUAUCUAACCAGAAAGCCACGGCUAACUACGUGCCAGCCGCCGCGGUAAUAC